GUACUACUAUUGGAAAUCCCUCAAGUGGUAAUAUCGUCAAUACACCCAUUACAUCAAACGAUAAUUUGUUCAUUAAACAACAAUUUUAAACUCGUUUCGUGCGUUGAAAUUCGUUUUUCUUUUUAAGUAGUUCACAAUGAAUGCAGUUAGUAUUUUCGCACUCUUCGUGUUGUGCCAUGGCGCCACCGCUUUAUUAUUUAACGGUGACAAAUGCGUUGUACCUGGUACCAGCGACUUAGGACUUUGUAUUCCGAUCUACGAAUGUAAUUAUGCUAAAAAAUUAUUGAGGCAGCAUGCCAGUCCAGGAGUUUGUGGCUUUGCAGAAAAGACUGUACCCUUGGUAUGUUGUCCUGUUUACCAAAAAACUGCUGUACAGUACUUAACGUUCGAUUAUUUUGUUUUUAAACCGUGAUAUGUUUACAAAAUGUACGAUAAUUAAUAAAGAGAUUAAAAUGUC